GGAGGAAUAUUGGUCAAUGGGCGAGAGCCUGAACCAGCCAAGUCGCGUGAGGGAAGACGGUCCUACGGAUUGUAAACCUCUUUUGUCGGGGAGUAAUAGGCGGGACGUGUCCUGCUGUGAGAGUACCCGAAGAAAAAGCAUCGGCUAACUCCGUGCCAGCAGCCGCGGUAAUACGGAAGAUGCGAGCGUUAUCCGGAUUUAUUGGGUUUAAAGGGAGCGUAGGCGGACUAUCAAGUCAGUUGUGAAAGUCAUCGGCUCAACCGCUGAAUUGCAGUUGAAACUGGUAGUCUUGAGUGCACAUGAGGAUGGUGGAAUUCGUAGUGUAGCGGUGAAAUGCUUAGAUAUUACGAAGAACUCCGAUUGCGAAGGCAGCUAUCUGGGGUGCAACUGACG
rnacentral:rRNA from 1 species